UACGUAGGGUGCGAGCGUUAAUCGGAAUUACUGGGCGUAAAGCGUGCGUAGGCGGCUUCGCAAGUCAGACGUGAAAUCCCCGGGCUUAACCUGGGAAUGGCGUUUGAAACUACGGAGCUGGAGUGUGGCAGAGGGAGGUAGAAUUCCACGUGUAGCGGUGAAAUGCGUAGAUAUGUGGAGGAAUACCGAUGGCGAAGGCAGCCUCCUGGGCCAACACUGACGCUCAUGCACGAAAGCGUGGGGAGCAAACAGG
rnacentral:rRNA from 1 species